UACGUAGGGGGCAAGCGUUGUCCGGAAUUAUUGGGCGUAAAGAGCGCGUAGGCGGUCCGAUAAGUCGGCUGUGAAAGUCCAGGGCUCAACCCUGGAAAGCCGGCCGAUACUGUCGGGCUAGAGUCCGGAAGAGGCAAGUGGAAUUCCCGGUGUAGCGGUGAAAUGCGCAGAUAUCGGGAGGAACACCAAUUGCGAAGGCAGCUUGCUGGGACGGUACUGACGCUGAGGCGCGAAAGCGUGGGGAGCAAACAGG
rnacentral:rRNA from 1 species